ACGGGAGGCAGCAGUGGGGAAUAUUAGGCAAUGGGGGCAACCCUGACCUAGCAACGCCGCGUGAAGGAAGAAGGCCUUCGGGUUGUAAACUUCUUUUAUAGGGGACGAAACAAAUGACGGUACCCUAUGAAUAAGCCACGGCUAACUACGUGCCAGCAGCCGCGGUAAUACGUAGGUGGCAAGCGUUGUCCGGAUUUACUGGGUGUAAAGGGCGCGUAGGCGGGAUGGCAAGUCAGAUGUGAAAUCCAUGGGCUCAACCCAUGAACUGCAUUUGAAACUGACGUUCUUGAGUGUUGGAGAGGCUAACGGAACUCCUAGUGUAGCGGUGAAAUGCGUAGAUAUUAGGAAGAACACCAGUGGCGAAGGCGGUUAGCUGGACAAUAACUGACGUUGAGGCGCGAAAGCGUGGGUAGCAAACAGGAUUAGAUACCCUGGUA
rnacentral:rRNA from 1 species